GACGAACGCUGGCGGCGUGCUUAACACAUGCAAGUCGAGCGGUAAGGCCCUUUCGGGGGUACACGAGCGGCGAACGGGUGAGUAACACGUGGGUGACCUGCCCUCAGCUCUGGGAUAAGCCUGGGAAACCGGGUCUAAUACCGGAUAUGACUCCAUGACGCAUGUUGUGGGGUGGAAAGCCUUGUGCGGCUGAGGAUGGGCCCGCGGCCUAUCAGCUUGUUGGUGGGGUGAUGGCCUACCAAGGCGACGACGGGUAGCCGGCCUGAGAGGGCGACC
rnacentral:rRNA from 1 species